rnacentral:rRNA from 1 species
AGUGAACGCUGGCGGUAGGCCUAACACAUGCAAGUCGAACGGCAGCACAGUAAGAGCUUGCUCUUACGGGUGGCGAGUGGCGGACGGGUGAGGAAUGCAUCGGAAUCUACUUUUUCGUGGGGGAUAACGUAGGGAAACUUACGCUAAUACCGCAUACGACCUACGGGUGAAAGCAGGGGAUCUUCGGACCUUGCGCGAUUGAAUGAGCCGAUGUCGGAUUAGCUAGUUGGCGGGGUAAAGGCCCACCAAGGCGACGAUCCGUAGCUGGUCUGAGAGGAUGAUCAGCCACACUGGAACUGAGACACGGUCCAGACUCCUACGGGAGGCAGCAGUGGGGAAUAUUGGACAAUGGGCGCAAGCCUGAUCCAGCCAUACCACGUGGGUGAAGAAGGCCUUCGGGUUGUAAAGCCCUUUUGUUGGGAAAGAAAAGCAGCAGGUUAAUACCCCGCUGUUCUGACGGUACCCAAAGAAUAAGCACCGGCUAACUUCGUG